rnacentral:tRNA from 1 species
CGGAGCGUGGCGCAGCCUGGUAGCGCACCUGCUUUGGGAGCAGGAAGUCGAAGGUUCGAAUCCUUUCGCUCCGACCA